rnacentral:rRNA from 1 species
CCUACGGGGGACAGCAGUGAGGAAUAUUGGUCAAUGGACGAGAGUCUGAACCAGCCAAGUAGCGUGAAGGAUGACUGCCCUAUGGGUUGUAAACUUCUUUUAUAUGGGAAUAAAACAGGGUAUGCAUACCCUCUUGUAUGUACCAUAUGAAUAAGGAUCGGCUAACUCCGUGCCAGCAGCCGCGGUAAUACGGAGGAUCCGAGCGUUAUCCGGAUUUAUUGGGUUUAAAGGGAGCGUAGGUGGAUUGUUAAGUCAGUUGUGAAAGUUUGCGGCUCAACCGUAAAAUUGCAGUUGAAACUGGCAGUCGCGAGUUGGAGAGAGGUAUGCGGAAUGCGCGGUGUAGCGGUGAAAUGCAUAGAUAUCGCGCAGAACUCCGAUUGCGAAGGCAGCAUGCCGGCUCCACACUGACGCUGAGGCACGAAAGCGUGGGUAUCGAACAGGAUUAGAUACCCCUGUAGUC